UACGGAGGAUCCAAGCGUUAUCCGGAUUUAUUGGGUUUAAAGGGUCCGUAGGCGGAUGAUUAAGUCAGAGGUGAAAUCCUGCAGCUCAACUGUAGCAUUGCCUUUGAUACUGGUUGUCUUGAGUAUAUUUGAAGUGGGCGGAAUGUGUCAUGUAGCGGUGAAAUGCAUAGAUAUGACACAGAACACCGAUUGCGAAGGCAGCUCACUAAGAUACAACUGACGCUGAUGGACGAAAGCGUGGGUAGCAAACAGGAUUAGAUACCCUGGUAGUCCACGCUGUAAACGAUGAUCACUCGCUGUUGGCAAUUACUUGUCAGCGGCCAAGCGAAAGCAUUAAGUGAUCCACCUGGGGAGUACGUUCGCAAGAAUGAA
rnacentral:rRNA from 1 species